rnacentral:siRNA from 1 species
UCUCGCCUAGGUUGGAUGGGCGUG